rnacentral:rRNA from 1 species
GGGGAAUUUUCCGCAAUGGGCGAAAGCCUGACGGAGCAAGACCGCGUGGGGGAUGAAGGUUUGUGGAUUGUAAACCCCUUUUGAUUGGGAAGAAGCUCUGACGGUACCAAUCGAAUAAGCCUCGGCUAACUCCGUGCCAGCAGCCGCGGUAAUACGGAGGAGGCAAGCGUUAUCCGGAAUUAUUGGGCGUAAAGCGUCCGCAGGUGGCUGUUCAAGUCUGCUGUCAAAUUCCAGGGCUCAACCCUGGUUCGGCAGUGGAAACUGGAUAGCUAGAGUACGGUAGGGGCAGAGGGAAUUCCUGGUGUAGCGGUGAAAUGCGUAGAUAUCAGGAAGAACACCGGUGGCGAAAGCGCUCUGCUGGGCCGUAACUGACACUCAUGGACGAAAGCUAGGGGAGCGAAAGGGAUUAGAUACCCCUGUAGUC